AAACACACGCAAAAGAUUGGGGAAAUAGGAUCCGCGACACGUCUCGACCAGAAGCUUCCUUCCUCCGCCUCCACGAGGCUGCUCCUCCACCUGUCCGUGCGGCCACCCCUCCUCCCAGUGAACUGCGCGGCGACCUCCCCUGCCCAGACCUGAUCCCGCCGCGGCCCAGUCCGCAACGGUAUCCAACGGCCGGCCUGUUCCUCCUCUGCCGCCGAGUCGAGCGCCGCGAGGGCUGAUCUCGCGGAUUUUCGCCUGUUCCCGAGAGGCCAAUUGCGGAUAACUCGAGUAACUGCUAGUGCUACCAGGAAUCGUGUGGUGUGCUUUAUCUGUCUAGCUUGCCAAUCAUCUACAUAAAUUUCAAAGUGGGUUUACUUUCAGUCUGGAGGCUGAAAGAUAGGUUAACACUCUGCCAUCUGACCUUGUUCAUGCAUGCAUGGUUUGAAUGCUAACCACAAUUGAGUCCUGAAAAAGCAGACGCGGUGCACAUGCUUGCCGGCAGUAUGAAUAACGAUAACGAUAAUGUUAUUGACUUGAUAUCGGAUAGUGGUGAUGAUUUUGAUUCUGACUCUGACGAUCCAACUUCUACAAAUGUCACAUCUGGCGAGAAUGGCGGAGGGCAAUCAGUCUGCUUUCAGGACGAAGAUUUGUUGAGGAGCACUCCCUCUUCUUCCAGGUGUAAUAUAAAUGAUAAUGGUUCGGGGGACAGAACUUAUCCACAUUCAAAUUCGGGGCCAAGACACGAUUCUGGAAGGGCCUCUCUCUCGUCCAGUAGACUUGAUAUCGCAGUGAGGGAGCGUAAUGGUUUGGCAGUGGAUGCAAAUGGCAAUAACAAGAGGAUUCUUCCUUCAUCUUUUGCCAGUGGAAGCACGUCAAAAUCUACACAUCCAAGUGUUGCAAGUGAGAGCCGUAAACUCCCAUCACGUUUUACCAAUGGAAAUUCACAAAGGUUGGAUGAUAAUAGUAUAGGAACAAAUGAUGCCAAUGGCACUGGGCAGCCUUCAUCUUCAAGGUUCUCAAUCCGAAGCUACUCUGUGAAUGAUGUCUAUGUAUAUGAUAGUCCUAGUUCACAUAGGAUGCUGCCUGCAUCUUUUGGAGGCCAUAACUCUGCCAGUAACAAUGAACUUGCUAAUGUUAAUGACAUGCAAGCUCGUCCAAACCUAGAAAAUAGGUUUAUGGAUCCUGACGAGAGCGCAGUAUAUCAAGAGGCUCUUCAGAACAUUAGUCUGGAUAAAAGGGAAGAUGAUCUCGAUGAGGGUGUCUUAUCAGUAUCUCUGCUUAAGCACCAGAAAAUGGCAUUAGCUUGGAUGGUUUCGAAGGAGAAUAGUUCACAUUGUGCAGGAGGAAUUCUUGCAGAUGAUCAGGGUCUUGGGAAGACUGUGUCUACAAUUGCCCUUAUACUAAAACAGAAGAGUCAGCAGUCUAAGUUCAUGUGUGCUGAUUCAGAUCCUUUGAAAUCUGAAGCGCUAAACCUUGAUGAAGACGAUGAGGCAGUGACUGUUGUUGAUAAGGCGAAACAGUCUAUGAACGAUGAACCCAAGAAGGAUUUAGACGCUAGUUUAUCAACAGCAGCUAGUACUAGUGAUGUUAAACCAUCUAGUAGUCAUAUGGAUAUUGUUCCAAAUAGAAUUGUUGUUGAAAGCAAAGUUGAACGCAAGAAGACUAAAACAGGCACAUCAUCUGCAUCAUCGACCAUGCGAUCCAUGACAAGGCCAGCUGCAGGUACUUUAGUAGUAUGCCCUGCUAGUGUUCUUAAGCAGUGGGCUAAUGAAUUGAAUGACAAGGUUAGUCAAAGUGCUAGGUUAUCUGUUUUAGUCUACCAUGGUGGUGCAAGGACCAAAGAUCCAAGUGAGCUGGCAAAAUAUGAUGUCGUUGUCACGACAUACACAAUUGUGGCGAAUGAAGUGCCUAAACAGAAUGCUGAUGAUGACCAAGAUCAAAAGAAUGGGGAAGAAUCUUCUGUUGGUAAUAAAAGAAAACCACCAAGCAAAUCUAAGAAAAGGAAGAAGAAACUUAAGGAUUCAGAUAUUGACCUUGACAGUGGCCCAGUUGCCCGGGUACGGUGGUUUCGGGUGGUUCUUGAUGAAGCUCAGACGAUAAAAAAUUUCCGAACUCAAGUGGCUAAAGGCUGUUGUGGACUAAGAGCAAAAAGGAGAUGGUGCUUAUCAGGAACACCUAUACAAAAUUCAAUCGAUGAGCUCUACAGCUAUUUCCGUUUCUUGAAAUAUGAUCCAUAUUCUACAUAUAGCUCAUUUUGUACAAUGAUAAAGCACCCAAUUGCUAGAAAUGCAGUCCAUGGGUAUAAGAAACUACAAACUGUGUUGAGGAUAGUUCUCCUGCGUCGCACAAAAGAAACUAAGAUAAAUGGAGAACCGAUCAUAAACUUACCUCCAAAGACAAUUAAGUUGCAAAAGGUGGAUUUCACAAAGGAGGAGCGAGCUUUUUAUUUGACACUGGAAGAACGUUCUCGGCAACAGUUCAAGGAAUAUGCUGCUGCCGGAACAGUCAAACAAAACUAUGCCAAUAUCCUUUUAUUGUUGUUGCGCCUUAGGCAGGCUUGUGAUCAUCCUCUUCUUGUGAAGGGGCAUCAGUCGGUAUUUAAAGGCGAUGGUUCUAUAGAGAUGGCAAAACAACUUUCCAAGGAAAGGGUAAUAGAUUUGCUUGCAAGGCUGGAAGUAUCAGCGCUUUGUGCUGUAUGCCGUGACACACCUGAGGAUGCUGUUGUGGCGAUGUGUGGUCAUAUUUUCUGCUAUCAGUGUAUAUACGAGCGGAUAACAACUGAUGAAAACAUGUGCCCCGUCCCUAAUUGCAGAAACACGUUAAGUACUGAAUCAGUAUUUUCAUCAGGGACAUUAAAGAUUUGUAUCUCCGGCAAGACCAGUACUCAUGCGAUAGCGAGUUCAUCAGCAGACGAUGGGCUAUCUUCUAUCAGUCAAAGCAGUUACAUCUCCUCGAAGAUACAAGCGACCGUCGAUAUACUGAAUUCUAUCAUUAACAUGCAUGCUCUUACAGACAGUGAUACCAUUGAAUCAAAUCCAAACCGAGUAUCCCCUGUGAAAGCCAUUGUCUUCUCGCAGUGGACUGGCAUGCUGGAUUUGCUGGAGUUUUCACUGAACAGCAAUCUUAUACAGUACAGGAGACUAGACGGAACAAUGUCCCUCAAUUCAAGAGAUAAAGCCGUGAAGGAUUUUAACACCGACCCAGAGGUUAGAGUUAUGAUUAUGUCAUUGAAAGCGGGUAAUCUUGGUCUGAACAUGGUUGCUGCUUGCCAUGUAAUACUCCUUGAUCUUUGGUGGAAUCCUUAUGCUGAGGACCAGGCAAUUGAUAGAGCACACAGAAUUGGUCAGACUCGUCCUGUCACUGUCUCUCGUCUAACCAUUACAGAUACGGUGGAAGAUCGUAUUUUAUCUCUGCAGGAGGAAAAGAGAGCGAUGGUCAACUCUGCUUUCGGUGAAGACAAAUCCAGUGCCCACGCUACUCGGCUCACUGUAGAUGAUCUGAGGUAUCUGUUUAGGAUAUGAUUGGGAGGAGGAGAUGAUCCCUUGUUGCGUUGCUAGCUUUGGAAAGCGUCAAAGUGGUGGCAGCAUGUACGUUGCUUGCAAUCUACCUAUGUUCCGAUCGAUCCAGUUUUGUCCCUGCCCCGCCGAGGAUCCAGUUUUGUCAUGCUCCGAUCGAUCCUACAUGUGACAUCGGAUGGCCAGCUAGCUAGCAUGUCUAGUGUAACGUACUUGUGUCCCUGAGACCCUGAGGGGGCCGUCUAGUGUAACUGCCAUACCCCGCCCUGUAGGAGAAUUCUUGUGUGCUCUGUUCCCUGUGAUGACAGGAGAGAUCCAUAUGUAUAGUGUGUCAUUGACUCGUUGUACUGUGGCCAUUUACUUUUUCCUUUUUUGCAAUGUUCCCGAGUGCAUUAACAGACAGGUGGAC
rnacentral:rRNA from 1 species